CAUAAUAUUGAGCUACUUACUACCAUUAAUUAUAAAGUAAAGUACACGGAUGGUCCCUGUCGUUUACCAAAAUUUUGGAUUCAGUCUCUAUCUUUCCAAAAGUACACGGAUGGUCCCUGUGGUUUGCACUUUGUAACACAUUUAGUCCCCCAUUUUUCUAAAAGUACAUGGAUAGUCUUUGUGAUUUGCACUUUGUAAUGCAUUUAGUCCCUAACAUGAACAUGCUAAAAGCUUUAGAUUUGUUGGCUGGGGACUAAAUGCGUUACAAAGUGCAAACCACACGACAGGGACCAUCUGUGUACGUUUAGAAAGCUAGAGACCAAAUCCAAAAUAUUGGUAAACGAUAGGGACCGUCCGUGUACUUUACUCUUAAUUCUAGGAAAACGUAUGUUUAAUAUUGUUAUUUAUGGUGAUGUAACUAACUAUACAUUUUACAUAGGAACCUUGAAGCAAAUAACUUUUCGGGGACUGUUCCUUCUUAUUUGGGGAUAUUAAUAAAUUUACAAACAUUGAUUUUGUCCUCAAACCGGUUGACGGGAACGUUGCCAACAUCCCUUGCUGAAUUACGCAAUUUAAAAGACAUGUGCAAGAGCCUAAGGUAGCCGGACGAUAUUUGUAUUGUUUGUUUAAUUGGACUGUAAAAAUAGUGCGUUGGUUUUGUAACUUCGUUUGAUACAUUACGUACCCGCGGGUAGAGGAAUGGAUUUCGUUACUUGAACGUUUAUUUAUUUCAAAUGAUUAUUUCAACAAUUUUAAGUUA